CCUACGGGAGGCAGCAGUGAGGAAUAUUGGUCAAUGGGCGGGAGCCUGAACCAGCCAAGCCGCGUGAGGGAAGAAGGUACAGCGUAUCGUAAACCUCUUUUGUCAGGGAACAAAGGCGGGGACUAGUCCCCGGAUGAGUGUACCUGAAGAAAAAGCAUCGGCUAACUCGGUGCCAGCAGCCGCGGUAAUACGGAGGAUGCGAGCGUUAUCCGGAUUUAUUGGGUUUAAAGGGUGCGUAGGCGGUCUGUUAAGUCAGCGGUCAAACCCCGGGGCUCAACCCCGGCCCGCCGUUGAAACUGGCAGUCUCGAGUUGGAGAGAAGUAUGCGGAAUGCGCGGUGUAGCGGUGAAAUGCAUAGAUAUCGCGCAGAACUCCGAUUGCGAAGGCAGCAUGCCGGCUCCACACUGACGCUGAGGCACGAAAGCGUGGGUAUCGAACAGGAUUAGAUACCCCGGUAGUC
rnacentral:rRNA from 1 species